rnacentral:rRNA from 1 species
AUUGAACGCUGGCGGCAUGCCUAACACAUGCAAGUCGAGCGAGCGGCUGGCGGGUGAGUAAUGUAUGGGGACCUGCCCGAUAGCUGGGGAUAACUACUGGAAACGGUAUCUAAUACCGCAUUCCAUCGGAUUUACCCAGAUGGGCUUAGCUAGUAGGUGAGGUAAUGGCUCACCUAGGCGACUAUCCCUAGCUGGUCUGAGAGGAUGAUCAGCCACACUGGGACUGAGACACGGCCCAGACUCCUACGGGAGGCAGCAGUGGGGAAUUUUGGACAAUGGGCGAAACCCUGAUCCAGCAAUCCCGCGUGUAUGAAGAAGGCCCUAGGGUUGUAAAGUACUUGUGGCAGAGAAGCGGUAUCUGCAGAAUAAGCACCGGCUAACUACGUGCCAGCAGCCGCGGUAAUAC